rfam:Erinaceus europaeus unplaced genomic scaffold scaffold00682, whole genome shotgun sequence
GUUAACGUAGCUUAAACCUAAAGCAAAGCACUGAAAAUGCUUAGACGGGUCCUCACACCCCGUAAACA